rnacentral:rRNA from 1 species
GAAGGUGGGGAUGACGUCAAGUCAUCAUGGCCCUUACGGCCUGGGCUACACACGUGCUACAAUGGUCGGUACAAAGGGUUGCCAAGCCGCGAGGUGGAGCUAAUCUCAUAAAACCGAUCGUAGUCCGGAUCGCAGUCUGCAACUCGACUGCGUGAAGUCGGAAUCGCUAGUAAUCGCGAAUCAGAAUGUCGCGGUGAAUACGUUCCCGG